CUUCCAGCCACUUGCUUUAAAUGUCAGCCUGAAAUAUCUGCAGGUGACACAGCCGCUGAUGAACAAACUGAACGAAAGACAUGAAGCUGGAGACGCCAGUACCCAUGGUGACCAUGGAUGGAUGGGCCAGAGCAGGCGACGCUGAAGGACAUUUUAAAUUGAUGGUUACGGGUAAACUAACCCGAGUCACGUCUCCAGACGUGCAUCCAUGCAUGCAGGGCAGAUGACCUCUAAUAAGAGAAUGUGUUGAUUAAACUCGAGCAGACGUUGGGACUGCG